rnacentral:sRNA from 1 species
ACAAAAAUAAAAACACGCAGCAAUCCAAUAAAAACAACACGUACCGGCUCUGACAUAACAAGAACAACACGGACAGAGGCGUAGCUAACAGAUUUUUUUGGAGUGGAUAGCUUUUCUGAACCGCUUGAUUGCAGGCCGUUCGCAGUCAGACAGAGAACAAUAAAACUGCCAAAAAGGCGGCCACCAGACUGACUGGAUCGAUACGAUAAAAGGCUUAUCAGCGCUCAAAAAAAUACGUUUGCUCUUGGUCCCGUCUAGGGAUCGCUCAAAAAAGAUGUGAAAGGUCAGGCCGACAAAAACAACAACAGGCCGCCUGAAAACAAAAAAAGAGCAUGUGAAGAAAACCUUGAAGGGGAGCCCAGGCUCCCCUUCGUGCUUUGCGGAUUUUGAUAUCCCCCUCUCCC